AACGAACGCUGGCGGCAUGCCUAACACAUGCAAGUCGAACGAGACCUCCGGGUCUAGUGGCGCACGGGUGCGUAACGCGUGGGAACCUGCCCUUAGGUGCGGAAUAACUCCCCGAAAGGGGUGCUAAUACCGGGUAAUGUCUUCGGACCAAAGGUUUAUCGCCGUUGGAUGGGCCCGCGGUGGAUUAGCUAGUUGGUAGGGUAAAAGCCUACCAAGGCGACGUUCCAUAGCUGGUUUGAGAGGAUGAUCAGCCACACUGGGACUGAGACACGGCCCAGACUCCUACGGGAGGCAGCAGUGGGGAAUAUUGGACAAUGGGCGAAAGCCUGAUCCAGCAAUGCCGCGUGAGUGAUGAAGGCCUUAGGGUUGUAAAGCUCUUUUACCCGGGAUGAUAAUGACGGUACCGGGAGAAUAAGCUCCGGCUAACUCCGUG
rnacentral:rRNA from 1 species